GCUCUAAUAUUAAAAUGGCUCUUGUUUCUUUCUCAUUCCCACAGCUGUAGGGGAACUUCUCAAACGUGGCUCCCCAAAAUGCUCAUCAGUCAAGCUCAAGCUGAUAUAUUAACGCAGACUCCUGUGGAUUUGAUUCAGCAUAACAAGUAGUUAUAGGCCUAUAUCAUAGCACUCACCCAAUUUGGCAUUCAAUUCUGAGCUUUAUAUAACACAAAGAAAUAUAUUACAGGCCUACAGUCAGACGAUACUUUGUCUCAUUCCUACUGUUUGUCUUUCUCUUAGCCUACCAUACAUCUCAUUCUCAUCAAUAUCCAUGAGAGUGAAAAUUAUAGCCUUGCACUCGACGACUGUCCUGAGAGAAAUGCAUUGAUAAACAGAUAGAGCUGCUUCAUCUCUUGUUUAAAGGGUAAGUGGCACUUAGACAGGCAAUGCAAAAGCAUUAAUGCAAAAUUCUCCCUCCCACCUUCAAAUUCUCCACAGUCGUCGUGUCCUCUGAGAACUCAACAAGUUUCAGAAAACAAAAGAUGGCACAUAAAACUGAAGAGGAGGGAGGAAAAUAAAACAAACUCAGGGAAAAAUGACGAGAGAGUCAACGACAGACGUAUGAAGAGGGUUGAGAUGAAUAGAGGACUCUACAUCACAGCUGGUGCCAAUUCCAUUAAAGCCUCCGACAGCAAACAACUGACCGUCAACUACCUGGAUUUUUGAGGAAGGAAUUAAGAGUCUCCAGCAGAAGAGUGUGGAGUCAUGGUUCCCUGUGCUGUUUGUUUCUCAUUGGACUAUCUGUCAGCAGACGACACUCAGCCCAUUGCAUUCUCCUCGCUUCCAAGGUCUGCCAUUUACCAUCUUCUACCCACGAUUCUGACCAUUUUGCUUAAAUAUUUCUCUGUUUCUAAAUAAACUACAGGACCCUUAUUAUUUUCUGACAAAAUGUAAAAAGUUUCUGGCUUAACUGCCUGGUAAAACAUUUACAACUGAUCUUUAGAUGCCUCUGCAUUUGUUUGAGUCUAUUUUACAUGCUUGAUGGUUUAGAGUUUAACCCUUUCAUUUCAAUUCUGCCUGCAUUACAGGAUAAGAAAUCUCUUAGUGUUUUUCUCUGUUUGAAUGAAAAAAAUAAUGGCAUAGAACCAGUUAAUUAAUAGUGCACUUAAAACAUAGUUUUAUAUAAUUAGUUUAAAUUUAUGUUAAUAAAAAUGUAACACGUUAUUUAAGAUAAACACAUCUGGUAUUUGGUACAUUCUUGCUAGUUUGGAGUUUAACCCUUUCAUUGCUGUCUGCAGUUGCCUACAUUACAGGAUAAGAAAUAUCUUAGGCCUUAUCUUUUAAUAUCAGUUUGAAUAACAAAAUAAAUGCAUAUAACCAGUUCAUUUAUAGUCCAUUGACAAUAUAGUUGUAUAUAAUUAGUGUGUUUAUUAGGUUAAUAAAAAUAUAAAAUAACCUUAACAUAAAUACUCCU